rnacentral:rRNA from 1 species
CUACGGGUGGCUGCAGGGGAAUAUUGCACAAUGGAGGAAACUCUGAUGCAGCAACGCCGCGUGGAGGAUGACGCAUUUCGGUGUGUAAACUCCUUUUAUAUGGGAAGAUAAUGACGGUACCAUAUGAAUAAGCACCGGCUAACUCCGUGCCAGCAGCCGCGGUAAUACGGAGGGUGCAAGCGUUACUCGGAAUCACUGGGCGUAAAGCGCGCGCAGGCGGCUAGAUAAGUUGGAAGUGAAAUCCUAUGGCUCAACCAUAGAACUGCUUCCAAAACUGUUUAGCUAGAGUCUGGGGAGGGGAAGAUGGAAUUAGUAGUGUAGGGGUAAAAUCCGUAGAGAUUACUAGGAAUACCAAAAGCGAAGGCGAUCUUCUGGAACAGUACUGACGCUGAGGCGCGAAAGCGUGGGGAGCAAACAGGAUUAGAUACCCCGGUAGUC